GCUUCCACUACGGCAUCGUCGGCGCCCACGUCAACGGGGUGCUCACCCUCGCGCACUUCACCGGCCACCUCAUGUCCGCCGCGCGCACGCAUGUGCAUCUCAACACUGAAGUUCUUCUACAGUCAAAUUAUGAGCGGCACAUAUACGAGCUUCUUCUUGGCCCAAGUACCGUAUAUUUGAACUCUACGUUGAGUCCUUGCCAUCCUGAAAUGCUCCCGAAGAAUUUCACGGAAGGGCCUCUGGUGGUGGCGUUCGAAAUGGUGUCGUC
rnacentral:lncRNA from 1 species